GCUCUGACGCUGCAGUCGGCGCAGGAGUAUCGCUACUGGCUGCUCAUCUACGCCCGCUUCCUCGUCAACGAAGGCUCAGAGUAUCGUCUCAGAGAACUCUGUAAGGAGCUGCUGGGUCCCGUCCACAAAUCAGCUGCCACGUCCUGGGAGCCCACCACCCUGGGCCUUCGGAAGCGCGAGCUGCUGCGGGAGGUUUUACCCGUCAUCGUGGAAAACCUGCGAUUCCAGAGACUGUUCACAGAGUACCAGGACCAGCUGGAGCUGCUGCGCAACAAAUAACACACUGCUACACACACACACACACACGCACGCACAUACACACACACAGACUGACACCAACACUCACCGUGAAACCGGCUCGCCUCCGGUAAACAAACUCUGACUGCUUUUCCUCAGCUUGGGAAGCUUGGAUCGCUGUUGUGGCUGAGAGGAACACUUCCUGGCUGUUUGGUGAGAUCUGGAGUCGGAGCCGGUCCGCUGGGACUUUUCGGUGCUGUCGCUCACUGGGGAGGAGCAGUGGUGCUUUAUUUUUUUCUAAUCACGAUUAGUUUGAACUCUCGUCUUUUGUCUUUUUUCCUGCUAAAAUGUGUUUUGUCUGAACCUAUGCACCUCUCUCCUGCUCUCCUGAUCACAGACUUCAAAAACAGGCGAUGUUGGAAAAAGGUCGCGGGUUGGAUUUCCGCCACGCGCAGCAUCAGCAGCUGCGUGAAUCCCCCUCGAGUCCGUUUCCCUCCUCGGAGAGCGAGCAGAGACGAGACGCUCAGAAAAGAGAAAAUAUGAAUCCGAACGGAUGUAAAGGAGCAAUACGCUUGAACCAAAGUGACGCCCUUAAGUGAAAAAAUUAACCGCACGCCUUCAUCUGAGAGGCGGAGAAAACGAGGGGCGUCCAGGCGGAAGGUGCAGCCGCGGUUUUAAAGGUUCAGUCUGCCAGCGGGGGAAGUUUUCAGAGUAAAUGUGACAAUGCUGAAGCCAAAAUGUGAAAUCAUGGAGAGGUCACAGCGAGAAAGAUAAUCAUGUUAAAUUAAAUUACUGAAACACAGGAUGGGCCUCUGGGAAAUCAGAAGGAAACUCGGAAAUGUACGCAAUGACAAGAAAGAGCGCUUAACGCUGGUCGAAUGUUAGAAAGCGUUUCUGUGCACAAACAAGAAGCACCGAAGCUAAAAUGUUUAUUCUGACUGUACUUAAACUAAAAUAAUGAAACAGAAAUCGGCCGACGUGAGCGUGUCGGUCUAAAUAAUGUCAGAAGCAGUCGGGUCACGGCGAUCUGUGCGGUGGCGUAGAUCAGUCGCGUCGUGAAGCUGUCGAUACCACAGAAGCACGAACUCCUUUGAAACCAGAGCAGAAAGGCUC